ensembl:lncRNA
UGGGUGGUCACGGAGGAUGCGGUGACAUACCGGCAGUUUGUGCGCCAGUGCCAUGAGCGCUCAGCGGCGCGCUGGCACAACCUGAGGGCCAUGAGGGCGCAGUGUGAGCAAGACAUGGCCGCUCUACAGCGCAGCAAGGACGUGCAUCGCCGCAUCCUACUCAAGGAGCAGAAGAGAAUUCUAUCCCAGCGGAGCAGUGUGAAGCUGUUCUGCCAGAAGCUCUGCCCUGAUGCCACCGUAAGCUCCACUGGCAGGUCCAGUUGUGUUAUUUAGGCCUAGGAAGGUUUUUCUUCACAUAACUGAGACUCUACUUCUGUGUGGGUGUGUGUGGCGUUAUGGGUAUUGUUGGGAUCAUGAGUGGCUGUUUGUCUUGGCUGAUUCAGUUAAAUGCUGUUGUAUUGUACUGGCAUUGUGCAAAUUCUGUGUAUGAUUUUGAAUAUGUGGCUCAUGGAAGUUGAAUUUGAAAAUAUAAUUUGUCAAAAAGUCCCAUUGUAAGCAUAUGAAAUUCUGUAGUAAUUCUUGUAAUCUGUCUACAUAAUAAUUAUCUAUGUAGAUCUAUCUAGUAAAGUAAAGUUGAACUUGUUGUUUGUGUUACUAUGUCAGUGUUUGAAUUGGAGGAAAUGUCUCUUUCAGACUGAGGAGGAGGCAAACUUGCUCUCUGAUAGCUCUUACACUCAGUAGAGGCAGCAGGGAAUGAACUAAUGACUUCACGCAGUCUGCAAUUACUGACUCACUUCCUGUGGGCUUUUGUCCAGAUUGGGGCAUUCCAUCACUGUGUCUGAAUUAAAAUCAGUGCUAUGAAAGAAAACAUGUCUGUCUGGUUGGUUUUAUUUUUAACAUCGUUAUAUAUGUGAGUAUUAAAAUAAGCAGUAUUUAUCCUACUUCAACCUGCUGGAGAAAAAUGCGACCAUUCUACUGCCCUUUGAAAUUCUAAGGGAUGUAAUGCAAUAACAAAUCCAGCCACUUGAUGGCAGUGUGUACAUCAUUAUGAUGUGCAGUUUUCCUCUCUGAUCAUGAAGCUUCAGUUUGCUG